rnacentral:rRNA from 1 species
CUGGCGGCAGGCUUACACAUGCAAGUCGAGCGGUAACAUUUCUAGCUUGCUAGAAGAUGACGAGCGGCGGACGGGUGAGUAACGCGUAGGAAUCUGCCUAGUAGUGGGGGACAACAUGUGGAAACGCAUGCUAAUACCGCAUACGCCCUACGGGGGAAAGGAGGGGAUCUUCGGACCUUUCGCUAUUAGAUGAGCCUGCGUGAGAUUAGCUAGUUGGUGGGGUAAAGGCCUACCAAGGCGACGAUCUCUAGCUGGUCUGAGAGGAUGAUCAGCCACACUGGGACUGAGACACGGCCCAGACUCCUACGGGAGGCAGCAGUGGGGAAUAUUGGACAAUGGGCGCAAGCCUGAUCCAGCCAUGCCGCGUGUGUGAAGAAGGCCUUAGGGUUGUAAAGCACUUUCAGGAGUGAGGAAGGGUGUACGGUUAAUACCCGUAUAUUUUGGCGUUAACUCCAGAAGAAGCACCGGCUAACUCUGUGCCAGCAGCCGCGGUAAUACAGA